GUCAGGAUGGCCGAGUGGUCGAAGGCGCUGCAUUCAGGUUGCAGUCUCUAAUGAGGCGUGGGUUCAAAUCCCACUUCUGACA